UACGGAGGGUGCAAGCGUUGUCCGGAUUCAUUGGGUUUAAAGGGUGCGCAGGCGGGACAUUAAGUCAGGGGUGAAAGACGGUUGCUCAACAAUCGCAGUGCCUUUGAUACUGGUGUUCUUGGGUAACCUUGAGGUAGGCGGAAUGGGUGGUGUAGCGGUGAAAUGCAUAGAUACCACCCAGAACCCCGAUUUCGAAGGCAGCCUACCGGAGGUCAACCGACGCUCAGGCCCGAAAGCGUGGGGAUCAAACAGG
rnacentral:rRNA from 1 species